rnacentral:rRNA from 1 species
CCCUUAGAUGUUCUGGGCCGCACGCGCGCUACACUGACUGCUCCAACAAGUUACCUGGGCCGACAAGCAUCCGGGAAAUCUUGCAAAGGCAGUCGUGAUGGGGAUAGAUUCUUGUAAUUUUUGAUCUUCAACGAGGAAUUCCUAGUAAACGCAAGUCAUCAGCUUGCAUUGAUUACGUCCCUGCCCUUUGUACACACCGCCCGUCGCAUCUACCGAUUGAAUGGAGAGGCAAAAUCUUCGGACCGUGACGCUUGGGAGUCAAAUCUCGGGCUGUCGUGGGAAGUGGAUUAAACCUUUCUAUUUAGAGGAAGGUAAAGUCGUAACA